rnacentral:rRNA from 1 species
UGCAGUCUGCAACUCGACUGCAUGAAGCUGGAAUCGCUAGUAAUCGCGAAUCAGAAUGUCGCGGUGAAUACGUUCCCGGGUCUUGUACACACCGCCCGCCACACCAUGGGAGUUGGUAACGCCCGAAGUCAGUGACCCAACCGGAAGGAGGGAGCUGCCGAAGGCGGGACCGGUAACUGGGGUGAAGUCGUAACAAGGUAUC